rnacentral:lncRNA from 1 species
UAGCAUCACUUAGUGUUUCAUAUGCAUUAGUUGCAAUUAUUUUUUAUUUGCACUGACAACAUUUUUGUACAAUCAGCCAAGCAAGAAAGGAGUUCUUUCGACCAGAGAAUCCAAAAGGACAAAAAAGAUAAGUGAAUGAAGGGAGUUGAAAACCAUUCUUCGGUCAUACAUGUUUUCGCUCGGGACCAGUACCAGGGUCUAAGAACGGUGGUCAUGUAUUUUUUAUAACCCUAGGGUUAUGUAUUUGGUGUCUGAACCUUAGCCGCAUUCAGCUUGACCAUAGUCAGGUAAUGAGACAGUGGAUGUCAAUUACUUUUGUCUAUAUGUUGUUUCGUACAUGCGCUUCCUACAUUGGUUACUACUAGCUCACAUCUUUGGACUUGCAAUCAGAAGAUCCAUAGCAAAUUUCGUGCUAAUCUAGAGAAUCAGUGUAUCUAUUAUGAAUUU